rnacentral:lncRNA from 1 species
GUUUAUUGUGGGACUUUAAGAGGAGAGAAGCACCCAACUCACAGAUAACCCUUCUCGUUCCUGUGAAUCUACCAUCAAUCUCCAGCUGUAGCUCAGAAAGAACAAGAGAAAUGGGUAAUGUAAAAAUCUGGAUCAAUAUUCUAGUUCUGAGCAAUUAUCCUGCAAAUCCUGCCUGAUGACUGGAAUAAAUAGGAUGCCCAUCACCUGGAGGUUUCCUUUUUCCUUUUCGGGAACUGAAGACCAAGGGAAUCAACCAAAGCCAUCAACAUGAACCCAAACCCUAGUAAGCAUAACUAUAGCUACCAUUUAUCUGAAUGUAUCACAAGACAUCCUUUUCUCUCCCUUGUUGGAAGAGGACUCAGUUUCACAGUUUUACCUUAUUAUUUGGCGUAUGAUAAUGAGUCCAUGCAACCCUCUGAGGAAACGCUGUUGUCCCAAACUUAAUUCCAAGCUUCGAGUCAAAGCCCUAAGAAGGAAAACUGGAUCUGAGAGAUCCAGAGGCAAAUGGCAACAGAGGUUAAGAGGCACAGCACAGGUAAGCGUGGCUCAUUCCUGCCAAUUAAGCCAACCCCAAGCUUCCUGUUUCAUAGAUAAAGUCCUUGUUGAUAUCCAUGGCAUAAAUGAAGUCCAGGAAACUUUAAGGCUACUGACAGUAGGGGGGAUAGAGGCAUAGGUGAGAGCAGAUAAUUCCUAUUCUCUAGGCCCUCCCUGCUUCAUGGGUGCAAGCCACUCUGCCACUGAUUGAGGGAUCUGCCAAGGUCACUGGGACUCAGGAAUGCAAGGACGGAAGACAGAAAGAGGAUGCUCUUCCUUCCCUCCCUCACAUAUGCUGGGUAUCUGCUAGAAAGAGAAGAGAAUGAGGGAUGCCUGCCUCACUCUUUCUAGAUGGGUAGCCAUUCAUCUUCAGUCUGUACCCCUUUCAAAUGCAUCCUGAAC